CGGGGUGGAGGCGCCUCGUCCGUUCGACGCCCGGGCUGCUGGGCCCUCCGCGCCCCAGUGCGGCCCUGAGGAGAGGUCUUGAGGGUGGCUGUGGCAGCAGUCCCCCAGAUCCCAGCUGGAGCGGGAUCAGUUGCUUUCAGGGCUUGAGGAAGAGAAAACAGCCCGUCUGCCCAAGGGGUGGGCAUGGGCUGAGCUGGAGGCAGCAGCAGCGAGGAUUUUUUUAAUGUUUUGGGAUGAGGAGGUUCAUAGGUGGAGGUAAUGAGGGAGUAGGACGUGGGGUUUUUUUGUUUUUUUCUUAUAUUUUUACCCUGUGAGGUUGAACUGAUCACCUGUCUCAGAUCUUGAUAGUGAAGUAAACUUGAGAAAGCUUAGGAGUACAGUCUGUUUACUUGUUUCCUGAGUGGCAGUAGGAAUUUCUUCUUUUCUUUUCUUGCUGCUAUGCUGUUACAGGUGUUUCUUCCAAACUGAGAUGUAUGAAGAGGUGUUGUCAUUUACUGCUUGUGUUCUGUCUUUUACGAGUCCUGUGUCUGGUGAAUUUACGUGGUCCUUGCUGGCCUGUUUGCUAAUAAGUGUGACAUUUGUUUUGCUACUUCUUUACUUACCUGGUUUCUUCAUUGAGCUUUUGGUUCCAGAGAUGGUGGAUUGACAGCUGCUGUUUAGUCUGAGCUCUUGAUAUUCUUUCAGUUGUGAUGCAAGGGACCGGCAAGUUUUCUAAUAUGUUAAUGCUUGCACUGUGUCUCAGGAAAGAUGAGGUAUACAGGGCUCCAGGAAGGUACAUCUCCAAAGCACUUGUCCCAUCAGACGCUGUUAACAGCUGUUUGAGGAUUUUACCUAAUUUCUUUCUAAUGGUAACUUGAAUUUAUUUUGUCCUCUUGUGUCUUUUUGCAAUAUUGUAGCAUCUCAUAUCACUUGGUAUUAAAGUUGGCAUUUGAACUUUUAUCCAAGAGUGAAUUGCUCUGAAAUUCAGUAGUAUGUUGAAAGUCCAGUUGGUUGGUCCCCACCGUGUAGGCUUGGGAAAUUUGAUUUCAAAUGGUGUUUUUUAUUUCAGAUAUUUUUGUUUCUAUUUUGAAGCACUGAAUUCUGCCCUUUGCAACUGAAUUUUUACAUUAAUUUAUAGUGUGGACUAAAUGAUUGUUUUAUUUCAAAGAGUGGUCCUGUGGCCCUUUUAUGCAUCUUGUUCAUCUCAAAUUUUGGGUUGCCCUACACGAAUAGUGUGUUUGGCUUGGUUUUUUUUUGGUUUUUUUUUUUUUUUGUAAAAUUAGUGUGUCUAGAUAGAUUUGAGUGGUACCAAAAUCCAAAAGAAGAAAGUGAUUAAAGCCUUUAAAAAAUGCCUAUGUGCCUGAUGGGUAAAUAAAGAAGACCUUGGAUUGAAUAAACACUGAUAGGACCUAAGGUUUCUGUCCUGCACUUGAGAGAUACUUCUUUACUUUCUUUAGAGGGCCUGAUUACAGCUGGUUUGGUGCUUAUCUUGUUUUGAUUCUGUUAACUUUGGUAGGCCUUGAUUUCAUUUUUUAUUUUUUUAACCCCCUUACAUAUUGGAAAUAGACUUUUGGAAGAUAGUUAAAUGUGUGGUAGUAUUUGCAUUUUACCCUGUCUCUGUGUCAGUCCUGUGGCCACCUGCAGUGGAGGGCCCCGAGGCUGUAGAGUGCAGGUAUGAUGACAUCCAGGUAAAUGGUGCAGGACUGCCCACUGUGUCUGGGCUUACAAGAGCGCAUGGAAAGCUGUAAGCAACUGUGCUUUUUUCACAAGUCUGUCUUGGAUCUGAAGCAGGUAUUUUUGCUAGAAAUGGUCCUGCUGAGAUUCCUGGUGUUUCACUAUAGUAGCGAUGAGCUAACACAGCAGUAUGGUGCCAUGGCAAGCAGGGCCAUAAGAGAAGAACUGGACAAGUUGAGGCUGUCAAGGCAUAACCUAAGCAGAGGUGCUGACUGUGCUAGGGACCAUUUGGACCAUUUCCCUUCCCUAAGACAAGUGAUCUCAGCUGGCUUGAGGCCAGCUGAAAAGUUUUGUUCUCCCUAGCUGUGUUGGGUAGGUAAAGAUACUUCUCUUCCAAGCAAAAAAUAUAUAUAUAUUUAAAUUUCAGCUGUGUUUGUUACAGUCUUUUUCUUUUUUUUUUUUCUUUUUUUUUUAUUUUUUCCUAUGGUUGAAUAUUAGGGUCAGCAUCUUCUCUGGCAGAUUUUCUGGGCUGAGACUGGCUUGUGUGGAAACCAUGUCCCACUGUAGCUUCUGCCCUGCUUGGAGCCUUUGCCAGUGUACCAGGACAGAGCUUUGUCAGAGCACUGGCUUUCUUUUAACACUUUUGGAGCUCAUUUGUGAAGAUCAAAAGUUAUCUAUGUAUUGAGCAAUGCAAAUCUUGUUUCCCUGAAUCCAGGCUGAGAUUCAUUUGGCAUUCUCAGGUGUUAACCUCCAUUUUUCAGAUAACGAAGGUGUGCAGCUGUGUAAGUGUUUUGAACAACUGUGGCAUUCAUGUGUUUGAAAAUGAAGUAAUUAUGCGUGCCAGAUUCCAUUAAACAAAGGGUGGCCUACUAGGUCUCCUUUGCACUAAAUUAGGCCAGUAUGCAAUAGUAACUUUUACUGACUAGAUGUGUAGUAGCUACAAAUCUCUAGCUUCUGGCCCUGGGAGCUGUUCUGAGGAUUGAGAGCACUGAAGUGACAUAAAUUUCAGAACUUACCUCAAAGACCAUGGCUGGGAAAGUUUGAAUGAAAACUAAGACAUGUUAUUUUUUGACAGCGAAUGGAUUGACCAUUGGAGUGAGCUAUCUGAAGGUAGAGGGGAACCUCCAUUCUUCAUGCUGCAAUUCAAGGCCAGAAACUUUUCUGAAAGAUGUUCAAGCCUUUUGGGCUCGACUAAGGAAAUGGAAACUUCAGGGCCAGCAUUACUUGAGGUUGAGACAGGAUGGUCUGAUGGGCUUUGUGAAUUCAAAUUUAAUGUGUCUAUGCUGCUAGAGCCAAGAUAAUUUCUCCAUUCUCUGCAAAGUGCCACGUCAUCCCAGGUGUCUGUGUCCUGGUCUGAGUACAUGGUUUGGUGAGUGGCUGAGCUGACUAAUAGCCCCAGUGGCUCAUCUCAUUCCUACUUCUGCCAGUGUGGGCCCAUCCUCUUUGAGCUUUGAUAUUCAUCCAGCCUGGCCCUGAGCUAAUUCGUCUCACUAAACCAGCCGGAAACUAUCUUGUUUUAAUUGUGUUUUAUUCUGGCUGUGUUAGUCCUUUUAUAGGUUCCUGUGGUUGCAUCAGCUCACAGAAGAGCCAGACAAGCUCAGGAACUGGUGUAACGUAAUCAGCAGGAGAGUAAGUCUGAGAGGGAAGGACAGGCCUGCCUCCUUUUGGCCUCCCAGAAUUAUUGGCUUGGUUAACCUCAUUUUGUGUAGUUUCACACUGGUGUGUUUUCUUAUGGAUCCCAGGCAGAGGCAGGAGACGAGUAGAGGAUUUUUGGUCUGAUCCUGUGCAACUACUCUUUUCCUUAAUAGCAAAUCUGUUCUUCCUCUUCGGCUUUUGCUGUAUGUGUCCCUGUUAAUGCUUCUUUGUUUUAAUUUUUGUUCUUUCCUUUCUCUACGUUUCUUCUAAGUGACCAGUCCUUUGCUGUGUGGAACUUCUUCAGACUCCAGCUUAGACCCGUUUGCUCAUCUGCAGUUACUCUUGGAGAAGGUUUAAAAAUACACAGCAAAGCCUGUCUUAGGAGACCAGUCAAGGAGCUGACGAAAGUGGGUUGCCUAGCAGAGGUGGCCUAAUAAAAUUGAAGUGGAAUUGUACUGUGCAUCUUUGGGACGGCUUCUGGGUGGUCUGUUCAGACAAAUUCGUGUCCUGCUGGUGUGGAGUCUCCAUGUGGGUUUCACUGUGUUGUCAAGUGAACUGAGAUGUGUUUGUUUCCCAGCUUUGUAGGGUGCCAUAGCUCCAGCAAGUGCUUCCCUAAGUAAUCAGCGCCUUCGGCCUUGCACAUUGUGAUCUCACAAGCCAUCGCGUCUGUGAUGUCACAAUGGAAGAGAUUCUGGUGCUCUGACAUGUGUGGUCGUGCCUUUGACAAAUCAGCCAAGGAACCCAGCGGCAAGAAUGAGCUCAAGAAAUGGGAGAGACCUUCCUUAACCCAAGAGUGCCCUCCAUCCUUUAGUCAGCCUUUUCCAUGUUCCAUAAUGACCAUGUAGAGGGAAACCAGUGCCUGUAUAGGGCGUGGUUGUCUAGCAGUGCUGGAGGCAAACCCAGCCAAAUGAGAAGGGAGUGCAGCCAUGAAGUGUACUGUUCUCAUGUUCAAGUGAUGAUACUGUGAGGUUAACAAAUUAAAGAAGCAAAUUUACUUGUCUUAAAAAUGUGUUACUUUAUUAAAAAGUUCUAAAAGCUUUGUCUUUUGUUAUUUGUUUUACUUUAUGUUGGUUGGUUUUUUUGCAAGUUUGAGUGGUGAGAGUGGAUAAGUUGGUCUUGUUCAUAGUCUCUUGUUUUCUGCCUCACAGGCUAGCCAGGUGCUGUCAUUUUUGGACUGUAGUUCGUCUAAUGAAAUAUUUGGGUUUAGGUUAAGGUUGAUUAAAAAACACCCUGAGUUAUCUCUAUUGUUCUUCAGUUAUAUUUUCACACAAGUGAAAUAUGGGCUCACAUUUGACCUCUGAGUAUGCAUUUGAACAGCUACCAAAAUUGAAGUUCUGCAUUUUUUGUUAUACUGUGUUCCAGGUGUUGCAAAAUGUGUGCAAUUUUGUUAUACAGAAAGCAUCUCUAUUACCCGAACUUCUUUUCCCCUCCAUAAUUCAAUAAAAUAGACAAACC